UGGGGAAUAUUGCGCAAUGGGGGAAACCCUGACGCAGCAACGCCGCGUGAAGGAUGAAGGUUUUCGGAUUGUAAACUUCUUUGAUGAGGGACGAACACAAUGACGGUACCUCAAAAACAAGCCACGGCUAACUACGUGCCAGCAGCCGCGGUAAUACGUAGGUGGCGAGCGUUGUCCGGAUUUACUGGGUGUAAAGGGCGCGUAGGCGGGGCGGCAAGUCCGAUGUGAAAUCCCGCGGCUUAACUGCGGAACUGCAUCGGAAACUGCCGUCCUUGAGUAUCAGAGGGGAAAGCGGAAUUCCUAGUGUAGCGGUGAAAUGCGUAGAUAUUAGGAGGAACACCGGUGGCGAAGGCGGCUUUCUGGCUGAAAACUGACGCUGAUGCGCGAAAGCGUGGGGAGCAAACAGG
rnacentral:rRNA from 2 species